GACGAACGCUGGCGGCGUGCUUAACACAUGCAAGUCGAGCGGAGCGGCGAACGGGGGAGUAACGCGUGAGUAACUGCCCCCCUCUCUGGGAUAACAGUUGGAAACGGCUGCUAAUACCGGAUAGUGGGGGAUGACUCGCGUCCUCUCAGCUUGUGGGUGGGGUAGGGGCCUACCAAGGCGACGACGGUUAGCCGGCAUGAGAGGGCGACCGGCCAAAUUGGGCGGAGAUACCGCCCAAACUCCUACGGGAGGCAGCAGUGGGGAAGAUGGUACAAUGCGGGAAAGCCUGAUGCAGCAACGCCGCGUGCGGGAUGAUGGCCUUCGGGUUGUAAACCGCUGUCAGCUAUGACGCGGUAGUGGCAGAAGAAGCACCGGCUAACUACGUGCCAGCCGCCGCGGUAAUAC
rnacentral:rRNA from 1 species